GCAGCCUGAUCCAGCCAUGCCGCGUGUGUGAAGAAGGCCUUCGGGUUGUAAAGCACUUUUGUCCGGAAAGAAAAGCUUCGGGUUAAUAACCCGGAGUUAUGACGGUACCGGAAGAAUAAGCACCGGCUAACUUCGUGCCAGCAGCCGCGGUAAUACGAAGGGUGCAAGCGUUACUCGGAAUUACUGGGCGUAAAGCGUGCGUAGGUGGUUUGUUAAGUCUGAUGUGAAAGCCCUGGGCUCAACCUGGGAACUGCAUUGGAAACUGGCUGACUAGAGUGCGGUAGAGGGGUGUGGAAUUCCCGGUGUAGCAGUGAAAUGCGUAGAUAUCGGGAGGAACAUCUGUGGCGAAGGCGACACCCUGGACCAGCACUGACACUGAGGCACGAAAGCGUGGGGAGCAAACAGGAUUAGAUACCCUGGUAGUCCACGCCCUAAACGAUGCGAACUGGAUGUUGGGGGCAACUUGGCCCUCAGUAUCGAAGCUAACGCGUUAAGUUCGCCGCCUGGGAAGUACGGUCGCAAGACUGAAACUCAAAGGAAUUGACGGGGGCCCGCACAAGCGGUGGAGUAUGUGGUUUAAUUCGAUGCAACGCGAAGAACCUUACCUGGCCUUGACAUGCACGGAACUUUCCAGAG
rnacentral:rRNA from 1 species